rnacentral:rRNA from 1 species
AUUGAACGCUGGCGGCAGGCCUAACACAUGCAAGUCGAGCGGAUGAAGGGAGCUUGCUCCUGGAUUCAGCGGCGGACGGGUGAGUAAUGCCUAGGAAUCUGCCUGGUAGUGGGGGACAACGUUUCGAAAGGAACGCUAAUACCGCAUACGUCCUACGGGAGAAAGCAGGGGACCUUCGGGCCUUGCGCUAUCAGAUGAGCCUAGGUCGGAUUAGCUAGUUGGUGAGAUAAUGGCUCACCAAGGCGACGAUCAGUAACUGGUCUGAGAGGAUGAUCAGUCACACUGGGACUGAGACACGGUCCAGACUCCUACGGGAGGCAGCAGUGGGGAAUAUUGGACAAUGGGCGAAAGCCUGAUCCAGCCAUGCCGCGUGUGUGAAGAAGGUCUUCGGAUUGUAAAGCACUUUAAGUUGGGAGGAAGGGUUGUAGAUUAAUACUCUGCAAUUUUGACGUUACCGACAGAAUAAGCACCGGCUAACUCUGUGCCAGCAGCCGCGGUAA